UACAGAGGGCUCAAGCGUUGUUCGGAUUCAUUGGGCGUAAAGGGUGCGUAGGCGGGGCUGUAAGUCGGGUGUGAAAUCUCGGAGCUUAACUCCGAAACUGCAUUCGAUACUGCCGUGCUUGAGUACUGGAGAGGAGACUGGAAUUUACGGUGUAGCGGUGAAAUGCGUAGAUAUCGUAAGGAAGACCAGUGGCGAAGGCGGGUCUCUGGACAGUUCCUGACGCUGAGGCACGAAGGUCAGGGGAGCAAACGGG
rnacentral:rRNA from 1 species